rnacentral:rRNA from 1 species
UACGUAGGGAGCAAGCGUUAUCCGGAUUUAUUGGGUGUAAAGGGUGCGUAGACGGGAUUACAAGUUGGUUGUGAAACCCCUCAGCUCAACUGAGGAACUGCAACCAAAACUAUAAUUCUUGAGUGCAGGAGAGGAAAGUGGAAUUCCUAGUGUAGCGGUGAAAUGCGUAGAUAUUAGGAAGAACACCGGUGGCGAAGGCGACUUUCUGGACUGUAACUGACGUUGAGGCACGAAAGUGUGGGAGCAAACAGG